GACGAGGGCGCGAGCGUUGUCCGGAUUUAUUGGGCGUAAAGAGCUCGUAGGCGGUUUGUCGCGUCGUCUGUGAAAAACCCACGGCUCAACUGUGGGCUUGCAGUCGAUACGGGCAGGCUAGAGUUCGGUAGGGGAGACUGGAAUUCCUGGUGUAGCGGUGAAAUGCGCAGAUAUCAGGAGGAACACCGGUGGCGAAGGCGGGUCUCUGGGCCGAUACUGACGCUGAGGAGCGAAAGCGUGGGGAGCGAACAGG
rnacentral:rRNA from 1 species